rnacentral:rRNA from 1 species
GACGAACGCUGGCGGCGUGCCUAAUACAUGCAAGUAGAACGCUGAAGCUUGGUGCUUGCACCGAGCGGAUGAGUUGCGAACGGGUGAGUAACGCGUAGGUAACCUGCCUGGUAGCGGGGGAUAACUAUUGGAAACGAUAGCUAAUACCGCAUAAUAGUAGAUGUUGCAUGACAUUUGCUUAAAAGGUGCAAUUGCAUCACUACCAGAUGGACCUGCGUUGUAUUAGCUAGUUGGUGAGGUAACGGCUCACCAAGGCAACGAUACAUAGCCGACCUGAGAGGGUGAUCGGCCACACUGGGACUGAGACACGGCCCAGACGCCUACGGGAGGCAGCAGUAGGGAAUCUUCGGCAAUGGACGGAAGUCUGACCGAGCAACGCCGCGUGAGUGAAGAAGGUUUUCGGAUCGUAAAGCUCUGUUGUAAGAGAAGAACGAGUGUGAGAGUGGAAAGUUCACACUGUGACGGUAUCUUACCAGAAAGGGACGGCUAACUACGUG